AAAAAAAAAAAAAAAAAAAAAGGCUUCAGCCUUUCUUUUUUACCCGAGUCUCUCUCUCUCUCCUCAGAAAACCCCUCUCUCUCUCUCUCUCUCUCUCUCUCUCUCUCUCUCUCUCUCUCUCUCUCUCUCCUCUGCGUAUUACUGUUGCCGACGACGCAGGAGUACUUUCCGGCCACCAUUUUUAGCCACGCGCCGGACCGUUGGAUUCAGAGGCCUCCGAACUAUCGACCCACGCGGGAAUCUAGAGCUCACUCGCCGAUUAAACGCCUCAACCACUCGAUUUAAGUUCGGCCACCCCGCGACUUCAAAGUUGCGAUUCGGCCACCUCGGGCAUCCGUUUGCCGAUCCGUCACCACCAUCGUGCUCCUCGUGUUGUGGGCUUCAAAACCCAAUAACUUGUUCUUACAUCUACCAUAGUUGGGUGGUGGGCCCACCACGAGCCACCGCGAUCCACCGUAGACCGACGGUCGAAACUUAGUGUUCGAGGUUCCGAAGUACGUUUUGAGUCUCAGAAAAUCAUCGUUUGACUUAUUGUGGAGCCCGAUCAUUUUGGAUUUGUAUGGAUUUGAUUGAUUGACUCUUGGUGAGGAAUUUUAAAAUAAGCUAAGGACCUAAGGUGUGGCUUUAGCUGUUGAGCAACUUGUGGAGCACGGACUCAGUAGCAAUGCAAUAAUGGUUUAGAGUUUUCAUAUGGCUGCCUUAAAUUUAAAGUAUUCAUACGUGUAAUAAUUUCUUCUAAUAAGUUUAUAUAAAAGUUUUAAAUUUUUCUGUAUUUCUUCGUAUCAUUUUAUUUAAUUCUUUUGGUCAAGUGCCUUACAUACUCGUAAACCCUAGAAUUACGAGUAUGUGGCAGACGUACCCUACCUUAGGGACGUUACAAUUAUUAUAUGACAAAUGUGCACAAUUCAUUAUACUUCUUAAGACUGUGUAGGCAAUUAAAGAGAUAACUUUCUUAAAAAAUAUUUAAUUUUGUUUCAUCAUUUUAGUUCUGACAAUUUUUUUUCUUAUGAUGAUAUAUCUCACUGACUUGUGAUGUAUUUUGUUUUCUAAUUGAAUGUACUUUUUUUAA